rnacentral:rRNA from 1 species
AGCAGCCGCGGUAAUUCCAGCUCCAAUAGCGUAUAUUAAAGUUGCUGCAGUUAAAAAGCUCGUAGUUGAAUUUCGGGGUCAAUAUGUUGGUCGUGCCUUGGUACGUACUAGCUUAUUGAUUUCUCCUUUCUGACGAGCCAUGAUGUCAUUAAUUUGGUGUCAUGGGGAAUCAGGACUGUUACUUUGAAAAAAUUAGAGUGUUUAAAGCAGGCUCGCGCUUGAAUACAUUAGCAUGGAAUAAUGAAAUAGGACAUUUGAUUCUAUUUUGUUGGUUUCUAGGAUCGAUGUAAUGAUUAAUAGGGAUAGUUGGGGGCAUUAGUAUUCAAUUGUCAGAGGUGAAAUUCUUGGAUUUAUUGAAGACUAACUACUGCGAAAGCAUUUGCCAAGGAUGUUUUCAUUAAUCAAAAACGAAAGUUAGGGGAUCGAAGACGAUCAGAUACCGUCGUAGUCUUAACCAUAAACUAUGCCGACUAGGGAUCGGAUGAUGUUAAUUUUUUAAUGACUCA